GACGAACGCUGGCGGCGUGCCUAAUACAUGCAAGUCGAACGCAUUUUCUUUCACCGUAGCUUGCUACACCGAAAGAAAAUGAGUGGCGAACGGGUGAGUAACACGUGGGUAACCUGCCCAUCAGCGGGGGAUAACACUUGGAAACAGGUGCUAAUACCGCAUAAUUCCAUUUACCGCAUGGUAGAUGGGUGAAAGGCGCUUUUGCGUCACUGAUGGAUGGGCCCGCGGUGCAUUAGCUAGUUGGUGGGGUAACGGCCUACCAAGGCUGCGAUGCAUAGCCGACCUGAGAGGGUGAUCGGCCACACUGGGACUGAGACACGGCCCAGACUCCUACGGGAGGCAGCAGUAGGGAAUCUUCGGCAAUGGACGCAAGUCUGACCGAGCAACGCCGCGUGAGUGAAGAAGGUUUUCGGAUCGUAAAACUCUGUUGUUAGAGAAGAACAAGGAUGAGAGUGGAAAGUUCAUCCCUUGACGGUAUCUAACCAGAAAGCCACGGCUAACUACGUG
rnacentral:rRNA from 1 species